rnacentral:rRNA from 1 species
GAAUUUUGGACAAUGGGCGAAAGCCUGAUCCAGCAAUGCCGCGUGCAGGAUGAAGGCCUUCGGGUUGUAAACUGCUUUUGUACGGAACGAAAAGCUUUGGGGUAAUACCCUGGAGUCAUGACGGUACCGUAAGCAGAAGCACCGGCUAACUCCGUGCAAGCCGCCGCGGUAAUACGUAGGGUGGAAGCGUUAAUCGGAAUUACUGGGCGUAAAGCCUGCGCACGCGGUUUGAUAAGACAGAAAUGAAAUCCCCGGGCUCAACCUGGGAACUGCCUUUGUGACUGCAAGGCUAGAGUACGGCAGAGGGGGGUGGAAUUCCGCGUGUAGCAGUGAAAUGCGUAGAUAUGCGGAGGAACACCGAUGGCGAAGGCAACCCCCUGGGCCUGUACUGACGCUCAUGCACGAAAGCGUGGGGAGCAAACA